rfam:Echinococcus granulosus EG_S00001, whole genome shotgun sequence.
ACGCUGGGUAGUCGUUGCAUUUCCACACUGCUGCAAGGUAGCAGCUGAAAGAGGGUGAAAAUGCACCAACUAUCUGAGAU